AAUUUCGCAAUGGGGGCAACCCUGACGAAGCAAUGCCGCGUGAAUGAAGAAGGCCUUCGGGUUGUAAAGUUCUUUCGUGGGAGACGAAAAGGUGAUCGCUAAUAUCGGUUACUGUUGACGUGAACCCAAGAAGAAGCACCGGCUAACUCCGUGCCAGCAGCCGCGGUAAUACGGAGGGUGCGAGCGUUAAUCGGAAUUACUGGGCGUAAAGGGCGCGUAGGCGGUUGGUUACGUCUGCCGUGAAAUCCCCGGGCUCAACCUGGGAAUGGCGGUGGAAACGGGCUGACUAGAGUAUGGGAGAGGGUGAUGGAAUUCCAGGUGUAGCGGUGAAAUGCGUAGAGAUCUGGAGGAACAUCAGUGGCGAAGGCGGUCACCUGGCCCAAUACUGACGCUGAGGCGCGAAAGCGUGGGGAGCAAACAGGAUUAGAUACCCUGGUAGUCCACGCCCUAAACGAUGGAUACUAGAUGUUUGGUGCCUUAGGUGCUGAGUGUCGUAGCUAACGCGAUAAGUAUCCCGCCUGGGAAGUACGGCCGCAAGGUUAAAACUCAAAUGAAUUGACGGGGG
rnacentral:rRNA from 1 species